UAAUAGGAAAGAAAGGUGCGCUCUCUGAU
rnacentral:piRNA from 1 species